UCCGUAGGCGGGCAACUAAGUCAGAGGUGAAAUCCCACAGCUUAACUGUGGAACUGCCUUUGAUACUGGUUGUCUUGAGUUAUAGUGAAGUAGAUAGAAUAUGUAGUGUAGCGGUGAAAUGCUUAGAUAUUACAUAGAAUACCGAUUGCGAAGGCAGUCUACUAACUAUAUACUGACGCUAAUGGACGAAAGCGUGGGGAGCGAACAGGAUUAGAUACCCUGGUAGUCC
rnacentral:rRNA from 1 species